rnacentral:rRNA from 1 species
UGGGGAAUCUUCCGCAAUGGACGAAAGUCUGACGGAGCAACGCCGCGUGAGUGAAGAAGGUUUUCGGAUCGUAAAACUCUGUCUUUUGGGGCGAACGUGAGUAUGGUGAACAAUCAUAGUCAGUGACGGUACCAAAGGAGGAAGCCACGGCUAACUACGUGCCAGCAGCCGCGGUAAUACGUAGGUGGCAAGCGUUGUCCGGAAUUAUUGGGCGUAAAGAGCGCGUAGGCGGGAUAGUCAGUCUGUUGUAAAGUGCGGGGCUCAACCCCGUGAUCGCAAUGGAAACAGCUAUUCUUGAGUGCAGGAGAGGAAAGUGGAAUUCCCAGUGUAGCGGUGAAAUGCGUAGAUAUUGGGAGGAACACCAGUGGCGAAGGCGACUUUCUGGACUGUGUCUGACGCUGAGGCGCGAAAGCCAGGGGAGCGAACGGGAUUAGAUACCCCGGUAGUCCUGGCCGUAAACGAUGGGUACUAGGUGUGGGAGGUAUCGACCCCUUCCGUGCCGGAGUUAACGCAAUAAGUACCCCGCCUGGGGAGUACGGUCGCAAGACUGAAACUCAAAUGAAUUGACGGGGGUCAUAGCUGUUUCCUG